rfam:Nicotiana attenuata strain TT scaffold03043, whole genome shotgun sequence.
UAGACAGAUUAUUGUAUUCGACUGUAUUCACGAUAUGUAUUUGUGAAUACAAUAACGUAAAUAGCGCAAUUCAUGGUCUAUUCAGCUGUUUUUAAACAGAAAGUGAAUCAAUUAACAUAAUAGACUCCU